rnacentral:rRNA from 1 species
AUACGGAGGAUGCAAGCGUUAUCCGGAUUUAUUGGGUUUAAAGGGUGCGUAGGCGGGACUGUAAGUCAGGGGUGAAAUACUGCAGCUUAACUGUAGCAUUGCCUUUGAAACUGCCGUUCUUGAGUACAGUUGAGGUAGGCGGAAUGUGGUGUGUAGCGGUGAAAUGCAUAGAUAUACCACAGAACGCCGAUUGCGAAGGCAGCUUACUAAGCUGUUACUGACGCUGAGGCACGAAAGCGUGGGGAUCAAACAGGAUUAGAUACCCUGGUAGUCCGCACAGUAAACGAUGAAUACUUGUUUUCGGCGAUAUAAUGUCGGAGGCAAAGCGAAAGCGAUAAGUAUUCCACCUGGGGAGUACGCCGGCAACGGUGAAACUCAAAGGAAUUGACGGGG